rnacentral:rRNA from 1 species
GAUGAACGCUGGCGGCGUGCCUAAUACAUGCAAGUCGAGCGGUAAGGCCCUUCGGGGUACACGAGCGGCGGACGGCUGAGUAACACGUAGGAACGUACCCCAGAGUGAGGAAUAACUGCCCGAAAGGGUAGCUAAUGCCGCAUAAUCACUUCGGUGCAAAGCUUCGGCGCUUUGGGAACGGCCUGCGUAAGAUUAGCUUGUUGGUGAGGUAAUGGCUCACCAAGGCGACGAUCUUUAGCUGGUCUGAGAGGAUGAUCAGCCAGACUGGGACUGAGAACGGCCCAGACUCCUACGGGAGGCAGCAGUAGGGAAUUUUCCACAAUGGGGGCAACCCUGAUGGAGCAACGCCGCGUGCAGGAUGAAGGCCUUCGGGUUGUAAACUGCUUUUCUCUGUGACGAAUAUGACGGUAGCAGAGGAAUAAGGACCUGCUAACUACGUGCCAGCAGCCGCGGUCAUACGUAGGGUCCAAGCGUUAUCCGGAAUUACUGGGCGUAAAGAGUUGCGUAGGUGGCAGAGUAAGUUGGUAGUGAAAUUGUGUGGCUCAACCAUACACCCAUUACCGAAACCGCUCAGCUAGAGAGCGAGAGAGGUAGCUGGAAUUGCUAGUGUAGGAGUGAAAUCCGUAGAUAUUAGCAGGAACACCGAUGGCGUAGGCAGGCUACUGGCUCGUUUCUGACACUAAGGCACGAAAGCGUGGGGAGCAAACGGGAUUAGAUACCCCGGUAGUCCACGCCGUAAACUAUGGAUGCUAGCUGUAUUCGGUAUCGACCCCGGAUGUAGCGAAGCUAACGCGUUAAGCAUCCCGCCUGUGGAGUACGGUCGCAAGACUAAAACAUAAAGGAAUUGACGGGGACCCGCACAAGCGGUGGAGCGUGUUGUUUAAUUCGAUGGUAAACGAAGAACCUUACCCAGGCUUGACAUCCUUGGAAUUUUUCCGAAAGGAAAAAGUGCUUUAUUGAACCAAGUGACAGGUGAUGCAUGGCCGUCGUCAGCUCGUGUCGUGAGAUGUUUGGUUAAGUCCAUCAACGAGCGCAACCCUUAUGGUCUGUUGUAUUUUUCAGGCCAGACUGCCCUGGCAACAGGGAGGAAGGAGGGGAUGAUGUCAGGUCAGUAUUUCCCUUACGUCUGGGGCUACAAACACGCUACAAUGGCCGGUACAAAGGGCAGCCAAGUCGCAAGACGGAGCUAAUCCCAUCAAAGCCGGUCUCAGUUCGGAUUGCAGGCUGAAACUCGCCUGCAUGAAGCUGGAAUCGCUAGUAACGGUAGGUCAGCUAUACUACCGUGAAUACGUUCCCGGGUCUUGUACUCACC